rnacentral:lncRNA from 1 species
UAUAAUCUUAAUUUUUUUUAUAAUUAUUUAUUUUUGUAACAAGUUUUAUUCAUUUUGUUAAUAUGCACCCAUAAUUAACUUUUAUAUUUAAGGGGGUUUUGGAAAUAAACCCCGCUAAAAACCCCUUAACUUAAAACUCAUCCCUGCAGUUUUUCUCUUGAUCUCCUUUAAUGAGAGGAGAGGAGAUAGAGGAGGAGAGGAAGACUUUUUUUGGAUGACUUUCAUAAUGGUCCAUUAAUGUACAAUAUUUUAAGUUAAGUGCAGAGUACACUAAUAUUUAAGUUAUACC